rnacentral:rRNA from 1 species
CCUACGGGCGGCAGCAGUGAGGAAUAUUGGUCAAUGGACGAGAGUCUGAACCAGCCAAGUAGCGUGAAGGAUGACUGCCCUAUGGGUUGUAAACUUCUUUUAUAAAGGAAUAAAACGAGGCACGUGUGCCUUUUUGCAUGUACUUUAUGAAUAAGGAUCGGCUAACUCCGUGCCAGCAGCCGCGGUAAUACGGAGGAUCCGAGCGUUAUCCGGAUUUAUUGGGUUUAAAGGGAGCGUAGAUGGGUUGUUAAGUCAGUUGUGAAAGUUUGCGGCUCAACCGUAAAAUUGCAAUUGAUACUGGUAGUCUUGAGUACAGUUGAGGUAGGCGGAAUUCGUGGUGUAGCGGUGAAAUGCUUAGAUAUCACGAAGAACCCCGAUUGCGAAGGCAGCUUACUAAACUGUGACUGACAUUGAUGUUCGAAAGUGUGGGUAUCAAACAGGAUUAGAUACCCCUGUAGUC